GGAUUAUGUUCACCGAAUUGGAAGAACUGGUAGGGCUGGUGCAACUGGUGUUUCAUACACCUUUUUAUCUGAUCAGGACUGGAAAUAUGCUCCUGAUCUUGUUAAAGUUCUGGAAGGCGCAAAUCAGCAAGUACCGCCGGAUGUUAGGGAGAUGGCUUUACGUGCUGGUGGCAGGGAUAGAGGUGGCAUGAACCGUUCUGAUCUUGUCGAUGGUGAUGGUGGCCGCACACGUUGGGAUUCUGGUGGCCGUGGUGGGAUGAGG
rnacentral:misc_RNA from 1 species